CAAGAGCGUAUGUAAAAGUUGUUGCAGUUAAAAAGCUCGUAGUUGAACCUUGGGUUUGGUUGGCCGGUCCGCUUUUUUGCGAGUACUGGAUUCAACCGAGCCUUUCCUUCUGGCUAACCAGUCGCUUCGGCGGCUGGCGAACCAGGAUUUUUACUUUGAGAAAAUUAGAGUGUUCAAAGCAGGCAUUAGCUUGAAUAUAUUAGCAUGGAAUAAUAGAAUAGGACGUUAUGGUUCUAUUUUGUUGGUUUCUAGGACCAUCGUAAUGAUUAAUAGGGACGGUCGGGGGCAUCAGUAUUCAGUUGUCAGAGGUGAAAUUCUUGGAUUUACUGAAGACUAACUACUGCGAAAGCAUUUGCCAAGGACGUUUUCAUUAA
rnacentral:rRNA from 1 species